rnacentral:rRNA from 1 species
GAUGAACGCUGACAGAAUGCUUAACACAUGCAAGUCAACUGUGGCGGACGGGUGAGUAACGCGUAAAGAACUUGCCUCACAGAUAGGGACAACAUUUGGAAACGAAUUCUAAUACCUGAUACUGUGAGAGAGCUUUGCGUCCCAUUCGCUAGUGGGAGAGGUAACGGCUCACCAAGGCGAUGCUGGGUAGCCGGCCUGAGAGGGUGAUCGGCCACAAGGGGCCUGAGACACGGCCCUUACGCCUACGUGAGGCAGCAGUGGGGAAUAUGGGACAAUGGACCAAAGUCUGAUCCAGCAAUUCUGUGUGCAAGAUGAAGUUUUCGGAAUGUAAAGUGCUUUCAGUUGGGAAGCAGUACCAACAGAAGAAGUGACGGCUAAAUACGUGCCAGCAGCCGCGGUAAUUC